rnacentral:rRNA from 1 species
CAGGACGAACGCUGGCGGCAUGCCUAACACAUGCAAGUCGAACGGAGUCAGGAGAGCUUGCUCUCCUGACUUAGUGGCGGACGGGUGAGUAACGCGUGAGCAAUCUGCCUCUGAGUGGGGAAUAAUGUUCUGAAAAGAGCACUAAUACCGCAUAAUGUACAGUGACCGCAUGGUCGUUGUACCAAAGAUUUAUCGCUGAGAGAUGAGCUCGCGUCCGAUUAGCCUGUUGGUGGGGUAACGGCCUACCAAAGCUACGAUCGGUAGCCGGACUGAGAGGUUGAACGGCCACAUUGGGACUGAGACACGGCCCAGACUCCUACGGGAGGCAGCAGUGGGGGAUAUUGCGCAAUGGGGGGAACCCUGACGCAGCAAUGCCGCGUGAAGGAUGAAGGUCUUCGGAUUGUAAACUUCUUUUGUCAGGGACGAAAAAUGACGGUACCUGACGAAUAAGCUCCGGCUAACUACGUGCCAGCCGCCGC